rnacentral:rRNA from 1 species
GAUGAACGCUGGCGGCGUGCCUAAUACUUGCAAGUCGAGCGAAUGGAUUAAGAGCUUGCUCUUAUGAAGUUAGCGGCGGACGGGUGAGUAACACGUGGGUAACCUGCCCAUAAGACUGGGAUAACUCCGGGAAACCGGGGCUAAUACCGGAUAACAUUUUGAACCGCAUGGUUCGAAAUUGAAAGGCGGCUUCGGCUGUCACUUAUGGAUGGACCCGCGUCGCAUUAGCUAGUUGUUGAGGUAACGGCUCACCAAGGCAACGAUGCGUAGCCGACCUGAGAGGGUGAUCGGCCACACUGGGACUGAGACACGGCCCAGACUCCUACGGGAGGCAGCAGUAGGGAAUCUUCCGCAAUGGACGAAAGUCUGACGGAGCAACGCCGCGUGAGUGAUGAAGGCUUUCGGGUCGUAAAACUCUGUUGUUAGGGAAGAACAAGUGCUAGUUGAAUAAGCUGGCACCUUGACGGUACCUAACCAGAAAGCCACGGCUAACUACGUGCCAGCAGCCGCAGUAA